CCUACGGGUGGCAGCAGUGAGGAAUAUUGGUCAAUGGGCGGGAGCCUGAACCAGCCAAGUCGCGUGAGGGAAGACGGUCCUAUGGAUUGUAAACCUCUUUAGGCGGGGAGCAAUGCCGGGCACGCGUGCCCGGAGGGAGAGUACCCGCAGAAUAAGCAUCGGCUACCUCCGUGCCAGCAGGCGCGGUAAAACGGAGGAUGCGAGAGUUAUGCGGUUUUAGUGGGUUUAAAGGGAGCGUAGGCGGAUUUUUAAGUCAGCGGGAAAAGGGCGGGGCUCAACCCGGGCCGGUCGUUGAAACUGGGGAUCUUGAGUGGGCGAGAAGUAUGCGGAAUGCGUGGUGUAGCGGUGAAAUGCAUAGAUAUCACGCAGAACUCCGAUUGCGAAGGCAGCAUACCGGCGCCCGACUGACGCUGAGGCACGAAAGCGUGGGGAUCGAACAGGAUUAGAUACCCUAGUAGUC
rnacentral:rRNA from 1 species